AUUGAACGCUGGCGGCAGGCCUAACACAUGCAAGUCGGACGGUAGCACAGAGGAGCUUGCUCCUCGGGUGACGAGUGGCGGACGGGGGAGUAAUGUCUGGGGAUCUGCCCGAUAGAGGGGGAUAACCACCGGAAACGGUGGCUAAUACCGAAUAACGUCGCAAGACCAAAGAGGGGGACCUUCGGGCACCUCACUAUCGGAUGACACCAGAUGGGAUUAGCUAGUAGGCGGGGUAACGGCCCACCUAGGCGACGAUCCCUAGCUGGUCUGAGAGGAUGACCAGCCACACUGGAACUGAGACACGGUCCAGACUCCUACGGGAGGCAGCAGUGGGGAAUAUUGCACAAUGGGCGCAAGCCUGAUGCAGCCAUGCCGCGUGUAUGAAGAAGGCCUUCGGGUUGUAAAGUACUUUCAGCGGGGAGGAAGGCGAUGUGGUUAAUAACCGCAUUGAUUGACGUUACCCGCAGAAGAAGCACCGGCUAACUCCGUGCCAGCCGCCGCGGUAACAC
rnacentral:rRNA from 1 species